CAAGUCGGGAACUGUUGUUGUCCAGAAAGGAGCGGGCACAGAAAUCGCUGCCUUUCUCUAUGUUUAUUUUGGAAGACAGUUAUUUUAGGGAAAAUGUUACUUACGUUAAGGUGCAGCGACACCUCAGUGGUUUCCAGGGCCGUGAGGAGAUUCUGAGCUCAGAAAGCCCCAGAGGCGGGGACUGGGUGACCGCAUCUCUGCAGCCAGGCGACGGCCUGUUGAUUCCACGGCUCCGAUGCUGACACAGCGGGCUUGUGACCCUGAGCAAAUCACCUAUCCUUUUUGUGCCAUGGCUUCCGUGUUUUGGGCACAGUAAUAAAAUCCACCCGUUAGAGUUGAUGCGAGGUUAAAUGCGUGACAGGCAUGGCAUUUAGCAUGACGCUUGGGACAUAGCAGAGGCUCUGCCAAUAUUCACUGUCAGUUUUACUACUGUUGCUGUUCUAGUGGACCUGCUCAUGUAGAGGAAGCGCCGUCCAACACUGCUUCCAACAACUGUCGAAGUGACAUCCCACCAUGGAGAAGGACAGAGAAAUGAGUGAUUCAACCAUGCUGAAGGCCAACAGCAUCACCAGGAUUCCCUGUGACAGAAGAGAAGAAGACGCGAGGCGCCGUGGACUAGCACAGUAGUGGUUUUUCUGACUAGAAUAAGUUAGGGUUAAACAGGCCACAGAGAGCUCCCAUCUCACAAAUGAAUGCGAUGCUCUGGAACCAAAUUAGUGCAGAAUGAUGCGAAUGUAUGGACAUCCAGCUACUGUAAAUAGAGCGUAGGAAGCAGAUAUUUUGUUCAAGAAAUUCUUAGGAAAUAAUACAGCUUCUAAAUUAUUCCUAGGAAAUAACUUCAGAAAUGUCUAUUGUGAGGCCUAAAAUACGUGUAUGCUUAACUUUGUUAAAAAUUGCCCAAGUAGUUUGUGGAGAUGGUUGAACUGUCUUACACUUCUACCAAAAGCCACGUAAGGGCCAGGGAUGUAGCUCAGUGGGUGCCACCGCCUGCCUCACAAAUGGAAGGUCCUGAGUUCGAUGCCCGGUAACAACAACAACAACAACAAAAAAGCCACAUAAGAGUUCCAGUGCUUCACAUUCUCACCAACAGCUGUUACUGCCAGUGCUUUAAUUAAAGUCAUUUGAUGUGACUUCAGUAGUAGGUUAUUGGGAUUCAAACUUGCAGUUCUCUGACGACCCUACUGCUGACGUGUUUUUAUGUGUCCCCUAACCAUUUGCCAUUCUUCUCCUGUGGAGUAAACGCACGGGACCCAAGUCCUGGACACAGGGAACAGUAUUCGGAACUCAUUUAGUAGGUCAACUCACACCCAGGACUUGGAAGAAUCCUUGACACGUUGGAUGUGAUCUUGCAACUGAAGCAAGGAAAAUACACUCUGGAAAAGGGUCAUCAUCGCGCAGACUUGGGACACAGCAGGCACUGGGGGAGACGCAGCACACUCACCCCAGGGUUGGUGGCACAGACCUGUGUGUACCAGAAGGCAGAAGCACGGGCGGCCACCAGGAGCUCCAGCACCAUGAGGCUGAGCAUCGCCAGGAGCACGCCCUGCGGUGGGGACAGGGAG
ensembl:lncRNA